CAGUCGCCGCGGGAAUACGUAGGGUGCUAGCGUUGUUCGGAUUUACUGGGCGUAAAGGGCGCGUAGGCGGGCGAAUAAGUCAGGGGUGAAAUCCCAAGGCUCAGCCUUGGAACUGCCUUUGAUACUGUUUGUCUUGAGUUCGAGAGAGGUAAGUGGAACUGCGAGUGUAGAGGUGAAAUUCGUAGAUAUUCGCAAGAACACCAGUGGCGAAGGCGGCUUACUGGCUCGAAACUGACGCUGAGGCGCGAAAGCGUGGGGAGCAAACAGGAUUAGAUACCCGCGUAGUCCCUGUCUCUUAUAC
rnacentral:rRNA from 1 species